rnacentral:lncRNA from 1 species
UUCAAAACCCUCGCUUCUCUCUCCAGAACUUCAUCUCGUUACUUUUCUACCUAUAUGUUGUUAGUCUUUGUCAUCUUCUUUGCAUCAAAUACAUUAAAUUUCAUUCUUGGAGGGAAGAUAAGUCGGAUCACACGAGGAAUUUCAGUCCCGAAGAUUGUAGCUGUGUUUGCACUGGUUUUAAUUUGAGCUCACAUCUUUGUCCAACUUCAUCUGUACUCCUUUAUCAUUUUCUCUGCAGCGAACUUGCCGACGUUUUUCGUGAAUCGUAUGUUUUCUAUUUUGCUUUUAUGCAUUUUUCUUUUUGUAUAUCUCUAAUUCAGCGAUAACAUUGGUCACAAUGAUGUAUUUGUGAUCAAGUAUGUGCGUCUUAGUAGUAAAAGUAAAAUGUCCUAAGUAAUGAUUAUAACUUGAUUCGCUGAGGAAUAAGAAGGGGAUUUUCUGAGAAAGUUAUUGAGAACCUUUUGGCAUUUAAUUGUAUUUGUGGUUCAGUCAAUAUAUUAAUUAUGUAAUAUGCAAUCAGAGUAGUCCAGUCAUUGAAAAUAUUUUGGCUAAAGAUAAAUUUGUAUGCUAAGUUGUUUAGGAAUUUUCUAAAUACUUGUAUUCUUAACUAUGCUUCUACGAAUGAUGCAUCUAAUUAGAUUCUGAAUUUUAGUUUUUUAGUUUAAAUAUUAAGGACAUUUAAGAAAAAUAGUCCUUAUGUUUACCUUGUAUUUCCUUCUUUGUAGUGUGCUAGUGGAAGGAGAUCAAGUUUUCAAGUUUGAUGAUUGACAUAAUUUGAUGAGCUAUUGAAAAUGAGAUUUUCAGUACAAGGAAACAAUAAAAAGUUUUUUGUCGAACACGCAAUGAAAGAAG